rnacentral:misc_RNA from 1 species
GAUGAAGAACGUAGCGAAAUGCGAUAAGUAGUGUGAAUUGCAGAAUUCAGUGAAUCAUCGAAUCUUUGAACGCACAUUGCGCCCUCUGGUAUUCCGGGCGGCAUGCCUGUUCGAGCGUCAUUAUAACCACUCAAGCUCUCGCUUGGUAUUGGGGUUCGCGGUUCCGCGGCCCCUAAAAUCAGUGGCGGUGCCUGUCGGCUCUACGCGUAGUAAUACUCCUCGCGAUUGAGUCCGGUAGGUCUACUUGCCAGCAACCCCCAAUUUUUACAGGUUGACCUCGGAUCAGGUAGGGAUACCCGCUGAACUUAAGCAUAUCAAUAAGCGGAGGA